AGAGUUUGAUCCUGGCUCAGAACGAACGCUGGCGGCGUGCCUAACACAUGCAAGUCGAGCGCGAAUGGAGCAAUCCUAGUAGAGCGGCGCACGGGUGCGUAACACGUGGGUAAUCUGCCCUGAAGCCCGGAAUAACCUGCCGAAAGGCAAGCUAAUACCGGAUAAGCCUACGGUCCCCUCGGGGGCUGAAGGAAAAGGUGGCCUCUGCAUGCAAGCUAUCACUUCAGGAUGAGCCCGCGGCCCAUCAGCUCGUUGGCGGGGUAUCGGCCCACCAAGGCAACGACGGGUAGCUGGUCUGAGAGGACGAUCAGCCACACUGGAACUGAGACACGGUCCAGACUCCUACGGGAGGCAGCAGUGGGGAAUUUUGCGCAAUGGGCGAAAGCCUGACGCAGCAACGCCGCGUGUGUGAUGAAGGUCUUCGGAUUGUAAAGCACUUUCGACCGGGACGAAAACCCGCUGGCCAAUAUCCAGCGGCUUGACGGUACCGGGAGAAGAAGCACCGGCUAACUCUGUGCCAGCAGCCGCGGUAAUACAGAGGGUGCAAGCGUUGUUCGGAAUUAUUGGGCGUAAAGCGCGUGUAGGCGGCUUUGCAAGUCGGGUGUGAAAGCCCUCAGCUCAACUGAGGAAGUGCGCCCGAAACUGCAGAGCUUGAGUACCGGAGAGGAUGGCGGAAUUCCCCAAGUAGAGGUGAAAUUCGUAGAUAUGGGGAGGAACACCGGUGGCGAAGGCGGCCAUCUGGACGGAUACUGACGCUGAGACGCGAAAGCGUGGGGAGCAAACAGGACUAGAUACCCUGGUAGUCC
rnacentral:rRNA from 1 species